UACGUAGGUGGCAAGCGUUGUCCGGAUUUAUUGGGGUUAAAGGGUGCGUAGGCGGUCUAUUAAGUCAGCGGUGAAAUACUCCAGCUUAACUGGAGGGGUGCCAUUGAUACUGAUGGACUUGAGUCAAGUCGAGGUAGGCGGAAUUGACGGUGUAGCGGUGAAAUGCUUAGAUAUCGUCAAGAACACCAAUAGUGAAGACAGCUUACUGGGCUUAAACUGACGCUGAGGCACGAAAGUGUGGGGAUCAAACAGG
rnacentral:rRNA from 1 species